GACGAACGCUGGCGGCGUGCUUAACACAUGCAAGUCGAACGGAAAGGCCCUGCUUUUGUGGGGUGCUCGAGUGGCGAACGGGUGAGUAACACGUGAGUAACCUGCCCUUGACUUUGGGAUAACUUCAGGAAACUGGGGCUAAUACCUGAUAGGAGCUCCUGCUGCAUGGUGGGGGUUGGAAAGUUUCGGCGGUUGGGGAUGGACUCGCGGCUUAUCAGCUUGUUGGUGGGGUAGUGGCUUACCAAGGCUUUGACGGGUAGCCGGCCUGAGAGGGUGACCGGCCACAAUGGGACUGAGAUACGGCCCAGACUCCUACGGGAGGCAGCAGUGGGGAAUAUUGCACAAUGGGCGGAAGCCUGAUGCAGAAACGCCGCGUGCGGGAUGAAGGCCUUCGGGUUGUAAACCGCUUUCGCCUGUGACGAAGCGUGAGUGACGGUAAUGGGUAAAGAAGCACCGGCUAACUACGUG
rnacentral:rRNA from 1 species